GCACGAUACGUUAAUAAUAUUAUUUUUGUAAUCAUAAUCAUAAUCAUUAAAUUGUAGUGCGUUGAUUUUGCAGGAAAGGAAACGUUUAAAGAAUUAUAUUCUUUUUUUUUGUAGUGAAUGCAGAAGGAGUGAUAGUUGUUUUGAUUAAUUAAAUAUAAUUAUUGUGUGGUGAUUUAAACGAACAGCUUCAUCCCUGACAAAUAUUUUUACUUGAGCCUCUACUUCAACACCAAUCGAUUAGAGAAAGGAGCUUACUGAUGCAAAGAAAAAUUCUCCAGAAAAGAUAACGGUUCUCGAAUAACUAGAAAGUUUUUGAUGUUCAAAAAAGGAACCGUGAAGUCAACAACGUUCAAUCUGGCAUUGGUAACAGAAAAACCUGAAAGAGAAAUGUCAGCACGUCCUGCAUGUAAUUCUGCAAUUGCUCCAGACCACGUCUUUUUUUCUGGAUUCCAACUUCCAAAUUCUUCUGAUUCCAAGACAACAUCGAAACUAAAAUUAAGAAUGUUAUAAAUGAUGAAUCCUAAAAAAAGAAAAAGAAUAGAAAGAUCAAUCUUUAUAAAUAGAAAAAAGAAAAGAUAUUUAACCGAAAAUUGUUUACCUUAAUUAUAACAGCUCUCAUGAUCAAACCCUUUAAAUUAUAUCUUCUUUCAUGAAGAGAAUCUGGGACUAUAUUAGUGAUUCCUUUCUCUAAGCUCCACGUAGCUACAUCAUCGAUCUCGGUUCGAUUCAUAUCGAUCGAAUACCAUUCUCGUAAAAUAUUUUCCGUACCACAACGGACCAUCAUUUCGGAAUUGAAUCUUAAAUGAAAU